rnacentral:piRNA from 1 species
UCCUCCACCAUGGAAAAAGUGCCAAAGAGU